rnacentral:tRNA from 1 species
GGUGGCUUAGUGGUAGAGUGCUUGCCUUGCAUGCAUGAGGCUCUGGGUUCAAUUCCUCAGCACCA